rfam:Felis catus isolate Cinnamon breed Abyssinian chromosome D1, whole genome shotgun sequence.
GCCUGGGUGGCUCAGUCGGUUGAGCGUCCGACUUCGGCUCAGGUCACGAUCUCGCGGUCCGUGAGUUCGAGCCCCGCGUCAGGCU